ACGGGAGGCAGCAGUGGGGGAUAUUGCACAAUGGGGGAAACCCUGAUGCAGCGACGCCGCGUGAGUGAAGAAGUAUUUCGGUAUGUAAAGCUCUAUCAGCAGGAAAGACAAUGACGGUACCUGACUAAGAAGCACCGGCUAAAUACGUGCCAGCAGCCGCGGUAAUACGUAUGGUGCAAGCGUUAUCCGGAAUUACUGGGUGUAAAGGGAGCGCAGGCGGGUCAGCAAGUCAGCGGUGAAAAUUAUGGGCUCAACCCAUAAACUGCCGUUGAAACUGUUGAUCUUGAGUGGAGUAGAGGCAGGCGGAAUUCCGAGUGUAGCGGUGAAAUGCGUAGAUAUUCGGAGGAACACCAGUGGCGAAGGCGGCCUGCUGGGCUCUAACUGACGCUGAGGCUCGAAAGUGCGGGGAGCAAACAGGAUUAGAUACCCUGGUA
rnacentral:rRNA from 1 species